GUUUUAAUAGUUUAAAUAAAACAUUGGUCUUGUAAAUCAAAAUUAAGAUUUUAUCUUUUAAAACU
rnacentral:tRNA from 1 species